UAGGGAAUCUUCCACAAUGGACGCAAGUCUGAUGGAGCAACGCCGCGUGAGUGAAGAAGGUUUUCGGAUCGUAAAGCUCUGUUGUUGGUGAAGAAGGAUAGAGUUAGUAACUGGCCUUUAUUUGACGGUAAUCAACCAGAAAGUCACGGCUAACUACGUGCCAGCAGCCGCGGUAAUACGUAGGUGGCAAGCGUUGUCCGGAUUUAUUGGGCGUAAAGCGAGCGCAGGCGGAAGAAUAAGUCUGAUGUGAAAGCCCUCGGCUUAACCGAGGAACUGCAUCGGAAACUGUUUUUCUUGAGUGCAGAAGAGGAGAGUGGAAUUCCAUGUGUAGCGGUGGAAUGCGUAGAUAUAUGGAAGAACACCAGUGGCGAAGGCGACUCUCUGGUCUGCAACUGACGCUGAGGCUCGAAAGCAUGGGUAGCGAACAGG
rnacentral:rRNA from 1 species